rnacentral:tRNA from 1 species
GAGGGUAGUGGCAGAGUAUGUGCUUAGCAUGCACAAGGUCCUGGGUUCAAUCCCCAGUACUCUCA